rnacentral:tRNA from 1 species
GCCGAGUGUUAGGCGGCGGAUUGUAAUUCUGUUUAGGGAGGUUAGAGUCCUCUUCUUUCCA